rnacentral:rRNA from 1 species
UACGUAGGGUGCGAGCGUUAAUCGGAAUUACUGGGCGUAAAGCGUGCGCAGGCGGUUUUGUAAGCCAGAUGUGAAAGCCCCGGGCUCAACCUGGGAAUGGCAUUUGGGACUGCAAGGCUGGAGUUUGGCAGAGGAGACUGGAAUUCCUGGUGUAGCAGUGAAAUGCGUAGAUAUCAGGAGGAACACCGAUGGCGAAGGCGGCGCUCUGGGCCGUAACUGACGCUGAGGAGCGAAAGCAUGGGUAGCAAACAGG